GCCUGAUCCAGCAAUGCCGCGUGAGUGAAGAAGGCCUUCGGGUUGUAAAGCUCUUUUGUCAGGGAAGAAACGGCCUGUUCUAAUACAGUGGGCUAAUGACGGUACCUGAAGAAUAAGCACCGGCUAACUACGUGCCAGCAGCCGCGGUAAUACGUAGGGUGCAAGCGUUAAUCGGAAUUACUGGGCGUAAAGCGUGCGCAGGCGGUUUUGUAAGUUUGUCGUGAAAUCCCCGGGCUCAACCUGGGAAUGGCGAUGAAGACUGCAAGGCUAGAGUUUGGCAGAGGGGGGUAGAAUUCCACGUGUAGCAGUGAAAUGCGUAGAUAUGUGGAGGAACACCGAUGGCGAAGGCAGCCCCCUGGGUCAAAACUGACGCUCAUGCACGAAAGCGUGGGGAGCAAACAGGAUUAGAUACCCUGGUAGUCCACGCCCUAAACGAUGUCUACUAGUUGUCGGGUCUUAAUUGACUUGGUAACGCAGCUAACGCGUGAAGUAGACCGCCUGGGGAGUACGGUCGCAAGAUUAAAACUCAAAGGAAUUGACGGGGACCCGCACAAGCGGUGGAUGAUGUGGAUUAAUUCGAUGCAACGCGAAAAACCUUACCUACCCUUGACAUGGCUGGAAUCCCUGAGAGAUUG
rnacentral:rRNA from 1 species